GAGGGUGGACCUCAGUGGUAGAGUGUGUGCUUAGCAUGCACAAGGUCCUGGGCUCAAUUUCCAGUACCUCCG
rnacentral:tRNA from 1 species